rnacentral:lncRNA from 1 species
UUCCACUGUGAUGGUUAUUGUUUCUAAGGCUUCUCCCUCACUACAGUCUUAAAAGAGACUCAGUCCUAGUUUGCAAUGACAGUGCUGAACUGUGUGACUCGGAAAGGCCUGGGGGAAGAGCACAGCAAAGUGUGCAGGUGACACGCGGGAUCAAGCUGGGAGAGAAAAAGGCGGUCCGGCGGUCCUGUCGCGGAGGUGAAAUGAGCUGAUUGUGUCCCCCUUUUUUGGUUCAUGUUCCUUUCUUGGGUUUCCCGUUCUCCUUUGUAUUUUGGAUGUGUUCACAUAUACACAAAGACAGCGUAAUUUCGUCAGCCUCCCAGGGACUCAUCAUCCAGCACCCAGGGUUAUUUGCCAACUAUGUCAAACUUGCCUUGGUGCCUUAAUUUCUCCCAUGUAUAGUAAGGAAGGACCAGCAUCUAGUCCCCUCCUGGUUAACAGGAAAGAAUGGUGACGUGGUGAGAACCUCCCCUCCCCCGCUUCCAAUAACUUCCCCGACAGCCUUGAUACACAGCAUUUCAUCAUUUCAACUGCAAGAGGUUCAGGAAAACAUUGACUUUCCCCCUUCUGGUGUCCCCAUCCUCUUACUUGCGCACAAAUCCCUAUCACACUUUCUCUUCCCUCUGAACUCCUGUCAUGUAUUGCAAUAUGAAACAAUUCAAGAUUAAAGUGACAAAUUAACUGUUACCUGCUGAAUACUUAAUGUCAAGAAAAAGUCACUUAAAACCCCGUAAAAAUUCAGGCAAUAAAUCUAGAUAGCAUGGUGGUGGAGAAGUGUUACGUGAACUUAGAUUUUGCCAUACCUUAAUAUUGCCUUAUAGCAGGCGUUUGCCAAUUGGAGAAGGCACAGCACAUUUACUGCAUAAAUUUAUGAACAUGUUCCAGUAACCCCAUCCAUUUUCUCUGCAUUGUUUUCUCUUGGCAUUCAGAGCAACUUCAGUUUCUCACUGCACAAGGAUAAGUGAUUUUUAAAUUUUUUCUUCCAAAUUUGGCCCUUGUUUAGAGGAGUGCACUCAUGGCCCAUGUACUUAGCUUUCAUCGCCCUCAAAAAAAUCAGGUUGGUUUUUUGAAACAUAAGGGAUAGAAUCUAAGGCAGGACUGGAAAGGAGCUAAAACCCAAGGAUGGGGACGCUCUGACUUCCCAUCUCUGCCAAUAAUUCACUCUCAGAUCCCAGGUUGCUACUUUUGAUAUCUUCUACUGAGGUUGCUGAGAGGGGAAUAAUACUUGUCACAAAGUCGUCCUCCAGAGAUGUAGAGGGAGUUAAUGAAGGAAUAACAAGAUGAAAAUGCCUAUGAUUUUAUAAAUAUUCCUUGGGAUAAAGGGGUAAGAUGAAUGUGAAUCAAAUGAGAGCUUCAGGGUCUUUCCUCACAUUGUCUUCACCUCUUGGAAUGCAUAAUCUUCUUCUCGGCCUAUCCACAGGGACAGCCUAUACAGCUACGCAGGUUGUGCACUGCUCAACUCCAGGGACUCCGUUCACCCAGACCGCCAUGUGAUCCGCUCUCCAAACUGUCAUGUCCACCUCUGGGAGGUCUUUCUUGAUCCCCUCCUUCCGCAGGUCUCUCUUCCUUUGGUGGACAUUCACGGAUGCCACUAGGUAUACCUCAGACAGGUGCCUCCAGCCCCAAUCUCAUCAGAGGAUCAUGCUCCAAAGAACCCCGAAGAACUAAGACAAGCUGCCAAGAAUGAGCCAAGAGGGAAGCCUUAACCUCUCCACUAAAACUCAGUCCCUUCAAUGAUGCUGAGCUACUGGAGGAAACCACAUCAAGUGUUCCUGGGCCAAGGAGGACUCACCCAUUGCCAGAGGGAAAUCAGAUACAACCAGCUCUUUCUUCUGAAGGGAGAUCAGGUGAUGGUCCAGCCUGAGCUCCAGCUGAGUAUCUCAGGAUGCUGCUGCCAAAAGUCCCCACCUAGGAGCUAGGAUAGAGCAGGACACAUGCACUUUUUCCAGCUUCUACUUCCAUAGAUAGGAGUCUCAGGAACUGGGUUUAGUUGAGCUGCCACUAAAUCUCACCUUGCUUCAAACAAGAGCCUAGAACUUUUCUAUUAAUAUCACUCGGGCCUUCAGCCCAACUCCUGCUAUAGACCGUGACCUAACCAGUUGGCCAUGACCUUGAAGCCUGGACAGUACACCUCCCCAUCACUGCUCUGUCCCGCUGUCCAGCCCUUGAGGCAGCCCAGGACAAGGCAGCUGUACUGGAAGUCUGACAGUUGUCUCAUGUUACCUGGGAUACGUGUCGAACAUGGUAUGCUAUCACUUCAGCCUGGAGGACCUGGGCCAGUUUGCACUGAUCUUUCUAUUCCCUGGGGCCAGCACAGUGAUGAACACACAGUGAGUAUUCAGAAAGCAUUUGUUAAUAGGGUAAUGCAUAUAAAAUGAGCCGUUUUAAAUUUCCUAAAGUAAUAAAAAGAGCAUAGCUUUAGUGUCAUCUAUUUUUUAUGACCUUGUGUUUACAUGCCUCUGGUUAGUAACCCAAACCUGUUUCCAUGGUGAAUGUGCAGGACUAUAGGUUUAUGGGUCUGAAACAUUCUCUUCUUUUGAAAAAGCUAUGUGAUUACCAGAACUGUAACUUUAUUUUCCUUUGUAAAUUAUUUCUAUUAUUUCGUAUCUAACCCAUCACUGCCAACAGCCUCCUGGAAUUGGUUUCUCCUGCCAUGUGGUUAACUGUUCUAUGAAAAGUUCUUAUACAUUUUUUUUCUUCUUCUUUUUAGAGCUGCACCUGAGGCAUAUGGAAAUUCCCAGGCUAGGGGUUGAAUCAGAGCCGCAGCCACAGCAAUGCCAGAUCUAAGCAGCAUCUGUGACCUAAACCACAGCUUGUGACAAUGCCAGAUACUUAACUCACUGAGCAAGGCCUGGGAUUGAACCUGCAUUCUCAUGGAUACUAGUUGGGUUCUUAACGCACUGAGCCGCAACAGGAACUCCUACUAUUGAAUGUUGUUAAAAUUAUUUAAAUAAAAUAAAAAUUCAGUUCCUGAGUUGCACUAACUACAUUUCAAAUCUCAAAGCCACUUGUGGCUGGUGGUGACCCCGUGUGGUAGUGCAGUUAGAGAACAUUUUCAUGAUCAGAAAGUUCUAUUGGACAGCAACUUAGAGCACAGCCUUCGGUGUCGGGCAGACUGGGGCUGAGUCCUGGUUGCACUAUUCAAUAGUUGUGUAACCCUGGACAGCUAAUUGAUCAACAUUUAUAAAAUGGAAGUAACAAUAGUAUCUGCCUUGGCCUCGGUUCCCAGAAAACAAAGCCUAAGAUGGAGGCCUGUGUGCCAAAACUUUCCUGUGGAGGGUCCUUGCGGAGGCCAAGAGUAAGGGGUGGGCGAGUGGAGAAGGAAAGGCGGGAGAGCACAUUAAGAAGGAAUGUUGGAGCAGGCCUCAGUUAUAAGCACCCAUCUGCUUGAUUCGGCGAGACUUCCUGCAAAGCCAUAUAAGGUGCAGCUCAGAUUCACUCAGGGCAGCUCAGAUUCUGGGGAGUGGGGAGGGAUGGAAACCAUUGAUGUGUUUAUUGGUUUUUACCCCCUUUGCUUCUCUCACUCAGGGUGAUUCAGAUACUCAUCUCCGGACAGUCUAAGCUUUGGCAGCCUUGUCCUUGCCAGCCAGUGAUCACAGCAGUCCUCACUCCCCAUCAAAAAGAGCCCCUGUGGAUUCCCUAGGUUGCGGCCUUGCUCCUCCCUUCUUGAGCUGUACAACAGUAGCUCCUUGUGGGCACUCAGGGUCAGUCGCCUGUGCUGGUAUCAUCAUUCCUUUCUUACUUCUUUCCUUCUACUAAGUUUGGGUUUUGUUUAUUCUUUUUUCUCUAGUUGCUUUAGGUGUAAGGUUAGAUUGUUUGAGAUUUUUCUUAUUGCCUGAGAUAAGACUGUAUUGCUAUAAACUCCCCUCUUAGAACUGCUUUUGCUGCAUCCCAUAGGCUUGGGAUUGUCCUGUUUUCAUUGUCAGUUGUCUCUAGGGUUUUUUUCAUUUACAAAGUCCCUAUCUCUAGAUAUUUUUUGCUUUCCUCUUUAAUUUCUUCAGUGAUCCAUUGGUUGUUGAGCAGGUACUGGCAGCUUCAAGUUCAGUGAGUGAGUCCCCCAGUACAAUUCCUCCCCAUGCCAUGUAGUGUAGCUUUUGGGGAGAUAGCAUCACAUAUCUUGAUGCUAUCACAUAUGUUUAUGCUCCUUGGCAUAGUUAAUGCAUAUACUAUAACCUGGGGCAAAAUGUCACACCCCAACAGAGUGUUAACUCUGAGAUGGAGCUUUAUUGCAGAUGACACUUCUCAGUAAAGUAUUCCCUUAGGCUGGUUGCUUCUGAAUAAUGGGAUACAUGGUCAGACCAGAGGAUCUUGUGGUCAUGUAUCCAUUUUUGCACCUGUUUUCCAUAACAAGCGAUCUUUUUUACUAAGGCAGUGUUGUGCUGCAUACCAUGUUAAUAGAUCAAGCAUUCUGUAGAUCAAUAAUAGUGGCUCUGGUGGAAGAACUGCAGGCUGGAAAGGCAAACAUAUAUGUGGAGUAAAUGUCAAUUCUGUGAAAAGCAAAUUUCUGCUCCUUCUGGGGUAGGAGGAUCUGAUAUAAUCAACCUGCCACUGGAUGUCUGGGUGGUGUCCUUGAAGAAUGGUGCCAUAUCAAGGGCUCAAGGUCAUUGUUUGCAGCUUGAACUUUCAAUGGUCAGCCUUGUUGAGAGAGAGCCAGGCACAAGGAUUACUCUGUUUCUAGAUUCAUUGUCUGCCACUGGAGUGGCUUAGAAGGAGACUGGCUGACAUCCACAGGAUGAGUCAUCCUAGCUCUACACCUGAGUGAAGGUUGAAAGCCUCCACUUAUCAUGUGGCCCAAGUGUCAGGGCAGUCUGUCCCACCGCCUGGUCCCUGUUGCUGAAUUGUUUUUGGUUCUGGAUCCCACUUGAAAAUGGGAGGCUUGGAGUUCCUGUUGUGGCUCAGUGGAAUCAAAUCUGACUAGUAUCUAUGACGAUGUAGGUUC